rnacentral:rRNA from 2 species
GGGAAACCGGGGCUAAUACCGGAUAACAUUUUGAACUGCAUGGUUCGAAAUUGAAAGGCGGCUUCGGCUGUCACUUAUGGAUGGACCCGCGUCGCAUUAGCUAGUUGGUGAGGUAACGGCUCACCAAGGCAACGAUGCGUAGCCGACCUGAGAGGGUGAUCGGCCACACUGGGACUGAGACACGGCCCAGACUCCUACGGGAGGCAGCAGUAGGGAAUCUUCCGCAAUGGACGAAAGUCUGACGGAGCAACGCCGCGUGAGUGAUGAAGGCUUUCGGGUCGUAAAACUCUGUUGUUAGGGAAGAACAAGUGCUAGUUGAAUAAGCUGGCACCUUGACGGUACCUAACCAGAAAGCCACGGCUAACUACGUGCCAGCAGCCGCGGUAAUACGUAGGUGGCAAGCGUUAUCCGGAAUUAUUGGGCGUAAAGCGCGCGCAGGUGGUUUCUUAAGUCUGAUGUGAAAGCCCACGGCU